rnacentral:rRNA from 1 species
UUGAAAGGGAAACGAUUGAAGUCAGUCGUACCAGCGGGAAAUCAACCUUUCGAGUGGGGGUUUUGGAGUUUUGAAGAGUGUCAAAACCUUUGAGAUUUCAAAAUUUUCGCUCUUUUGGUGUACUUUCUCGUGGGUAGGUUAACAUCGAUUUUGAUCAUCAUAAAAAGAUUGGAGGAAUGUAGCUUCGAUCUUGUAUUGAAGUGUUAUAGCCUUUGGUAAAUGUGAUGAUUAGGAUCGAGGAUUGCAACGAAUACCCUUUUGGGCUAUCCGCCUGAUCUCUGAUACGUGGCCUUGGUAUCGAAAGCUUGCUUAUGGUAUCAAGGUAUUACGGUCAAAAGGUUAGAACGGAUUACAUUCGUUAAGGAUGUUGACGUA